GAUAAACGCUGGCGGCGCACAUAAGACAUGCAAGUCGAACGGACUUAACCAUUAGUUUACUGAUGGAGCGGUUAGUGGCGGACUGGUGAGUAACACGUAAGCAAUCUGCCUAUCAGAGGGGGACAACAGUUGGAAACGACUGCUAAUACCGCAUAACGUAGCGAGAGGGCAUCCUCUUGUUACCAAAGGAGCAAUCCGCUGUAAGAUGGACUCGCGUCCAAUUAGAUAGUUGGUGAGGUAAUGGCUCACCAAGUCGACGAUUGGUAGCCGGACUGAGAGGUUGAACGGCCACAUUGGGACUGAGACACGGCCCAAACUCCUGCGGGAGGCAGCAGUGGGGAAUCUUCCGCAAUGGGCGCAAGCCUGACCCAGCAACGCCGCGUGAAGGAAGAAGGCCUUCGGGUUGUAAACUUCUUUUACCAGGGACGAAGAACGUGACGGUACCUGGAGAAAAAGCCACGGCUAACUACGUG
rnacentral:rRNA from 1 species